GUUAUCAAGAAAGGUGGAGAGAUUAGACUCUGUGAAACCUUAGCAACCCUCCGAAUGCUCGUGGAGAAGGUGCUAAAUUCUACUCGCUGAAAGAGGGAGAUA
rnacentral:ncRNA from 1 species